GUGUGACGUGGCAUAGGACGUAAGUGACAAUUCUCCUGAGAAAUCCCCGCAAGUCUACUUUCCACUAUUUGACUCCAUGUGAAGUUGAGUGUGCAACAGAGUUCAAGACUACGUCUAAAAGCAAGGUUUCCAACAUCUGCAGUGAUUUUGCUUUUCUAGGGUCAGAAACUGUAUUGAAUCACUUGGAUUGUGAGACUGUGUAUUUGAAAUGAUCAUUAGCCUCAAGGAAUAAAGAGAUCCAGAAUGCAGUCAAGCUGUGGGAUGUACUGCAGCAGGUCUCAGCACAGAUAGAGGCAUCUGUGAACUGAUAACUUUUUGGGACAACACCCCAGCCCCUUGCAUUUAUGGGGUUCAAUCAACCAACUCUUGGCCCGGAAAGGGGAAAUGGGAUGUGCCCGGAAGACCUGGACUCAGGCUGCCAUGGAUAGAUCUUCAUAUCAGCAUUGAAGCAUUUCCCAUAGACCAGCAUGUGAAUGACAUGCAGGUCCAGUCUCAAUGUCUCUUAAAAAUAGUAAACAAUUUCUUGUAGCAAAAAUUCUUAUUUAAUGACAUUACGGCAAAGCAUGGCUUCCAUUUGGCACAUUAGUUUCUAGGCACUAUUCUUUUAAUCUUUUCUCUCUAUUGGAUCAUCUCAGUGUUCCAAUACAAUUCUAUUUCAUACUUGUGUGUGAAUGAACAGACAGUGAGUGUUAGCAGUCUAAAACAAAAUCACAGUAGGAACUUCACAUGUAACAUUAUGUAUGAGAUAUAGGAGCCCUAGCAGAUUUCUAAUAGAUAGAAGAAAAAGGCAAAGAGGGCAGAGGAGAAAAAGUACAGUGAUGUUUGGGGUGUAAAUUCCAGGUCACAGGGAUUAGUUGCCUGAAGGCAUGUCUUCCAAAGAGCGAACUACAGUGAAGGUGAUGGUCAGUAAGGGAAGAUGUUAUUGACAUUAAAAUGGUUAAAGAGGUGAGGUAAGGGCCAUAAAGGUAUACAGCACAGAAACAGGCCCUUCAGUCCAUUACAUCAAGGUGAGAAGGGAUUUAAAUUUAUAGCUCAUAAAGUUUUAGUAUGGGAAUAGCAGCCAAUGUUGGUCAAUAGGAUAGGAUGAUAGUUCAACAGAUCUUGAUAUGAUCUAGGAAUUGUGCAACUAAGUUUUGCAAAAGCUGAAAUUCAUAAGGUGGAGAACUGAAGAUCAGCAUUGAGAACACUGGAAUGGAAAGCUUGGAGCAAAUUAUGAAUGAAGAUUUUAGCCGCAGAUAGGUUGAAGAAUUGGUAAAGGCAGCAAAAUUAUGAAUGUGGAAGUAGGCAAGCUUCGUGGUGGAGAAGAUAAAGAGUCAAUAGCUCAGCUCAGGAUUUAAUGGAUUGUCAAACUCUUCAAAAUUAUAGUUUGUCCAAUACAAUUUGAGAAAAUUGAAAAUUUCAUCAGGAUUGCUUUUCCACAAACAAUUAAAAUAGAAAUAAAUACACUUUAAUUGAAUAGAUUUAGAUUAAUACUUAAUUGCAUUAACAGUGUUUUCUUUACACUUUGAAUUUGUCAAUUCUUUUUUCAAGGUACUUUUUUGAUCAGGAAUAAUGAAUUUUAUUUUCAUGGAUUCUGCAGAUCAGUAUAAUCUGAACUAUGUUUUUGUUUUGGAAACUGGUGCUUCUUCCAACCUUCAAAAUGUGAUGGAGAAAAGGAUUUCUCCUUGGUUGGAUGCCAGGAACAAUGUGUACUUGGUUAGCAACACAAAUCUUGCUAAAUAAGUUACUAACAAGAAAAAUACCAUUUGUGUAUUUUAUAAAAUCCAUUUCCAGCUCUGAAGACAUUAUGAUGCACUCCAUUGUAAACAAGUGACUAUUAUGCUUAAAUAUGUUAUUUGAACAGCAAAGGCAAAUUAUUAUUGGGAGAUAAGAGCCUGAACAAAGAUGUUUUCCACAUUAUUUCAGCCCCAGCCUUGAGCAUUUGAUUGCCACUGAGAAUGUUUAAUUUCAAUACCAUGGUUUUUUAAGAUAAGUUCUCCAAAAUUUUCAACAAAUGUGUUAAAGAGUAUGCUCAAAUAAGUUGAUUUUCAUGUAUUUGAGGGGGCAAUGUCAUGAGUUUCAUGUACUUCAAAUCACUUCCAGUACAAAUAUUUGUGAAUUGAUUUUCACCUGUGUUUGGUAUUUAAUGCCACAUAAUGUAAAAAAUUGCACUCAAUUAAAGAAUAAUUAAAUGGAAAUCAGUA